rnacentral:lncRNA from 1 species
GUUUUGAUCUGUGAUUCCAUAGUGGUUAUUGUUGGGAUUGGCGUACAGUGGGUACUCAAUUUUAGUCGUUGAAGGGGACUUUAUAUUUGCUCACUGAAUGUCAGUUCGUCUGUCUGUUCAUCUGUCAAUCCGGCAAGUCAGUUUUCCAUAUCUUGACAAGUUAUAGAUAAAGUUUGAAUUUUGUUCAGGUCUGAUAAUUAAGUCCAGAGUUAUGGUUACAUAUCUAAUGUUAA